rnacentral:rRNA from 1 species
CGGGUGAGUAAUGCUUGGGAAUCUGGCUUAUGGAGGGGGAUAACUACGGGAAACUGUAGCUAAUACCGCGUAGAAUCGGGAGAUGAAAGUGUGGGACCUUCGGGCCACAUGCCAUAGGAUGAGCCCAAGUGGGAUUAGGUAGUUGGUGAGGUAAAGGCUCACCAAGCCGACGAUCUCUAGCUGGUCUGAGAGGAUGACCAGCCACACUGGGACUGAGACACGGCCCAG